rnacentral:lncRNA from 1 species
AUCACCUCUUCUUUAGUAUGGAAUCUUCUCCAAAUCUUGCUUUUGUCUGUCUCUGAUUAGGCUAAUUUAGAUUUUCUUCAGUUUCUUGAUGAAAUCCUGUGGAGCUUUGGCCUCUCCUAAAAUCAAAAAGGAGGAAAAAAAUCUACAGGUCUUCCAUGCCCGUCAAACAAGGCUAUUGCCAUCAUGCCCUUACUUGUCUUUGUCCCUACUAUUAACAAUUUUUGCAUCGAGUCACAUUUUAGCUGAAGUUAUGAUC